rnacentral:rRNA from 1 species
AUGGCGGCCGUUCCUCCUAAUGUCGAGGUCUCCAUUGUCCCUGCACCCACUACAUACAGAAAGACUAUCCUCCGCAACCUGUGGUUGGGCCGCACUGGUGAUGACACCCAGAAAUCCCUUCUUGAGGUGGCCAAGUUUGGGCAUUACGUUGUUGUCAACUGGACUGUAUUUGAAGGAGAGGGCAACGGGGCGAAGCUAGUCGCCCGUGGACAAGGAAGCACCAUAGGCGCCGGUAGCUGGAUAUCUACUUACGUCAUAGUGUUUGUGGAUGGCAGAUGUUGGUUCAAAGGAUCCACCCUUCAAGUGAUGGGAAACGCCUUGGGUGUUAAUGGUCAGUUGGCUGUUACUGGUGGGACUGGGGAGUUUGCUCUUGCAAGUGGUAUCAUCAAGGUGGAUUUUGACAAACUUACUGGUGUUGACCACCUUACGGUGGAAGUGUAUACACCAGUGUUCUUAGGACCGUGUUAUGCAGCAGCGGAGAAUUAG